rnacentral:rRNA from 1 species
UACAGAGGUGGCAAGCGUUGUUCGGAAUUACUGGGCGUAAAGGGCGCGUAGGCGGUUCGUUAAGUCCUGUGCGAAAUCCCCCGGCUCAACUGGGGAACUGCACAGGAAACUAGCGGGCUUGAGUUCGGGAGAGGGAAGCGGAAUUCCGGGUGUAGCGGUGAAAUGCGUAGAUAUCUGGAGGAACACCGGUGGCGAAGGCGGCAUCCUGGACCGACACUGACGCUGAGGCGCGAAAGCUAGGGUAGCAAACGGG